rnacentral:snoRNA from 1 species
CUAUGAUGAGCUCUUUAGAUGACGAGUCUGAUUCGGGUAACCGAUGUUGACACCAUCAAACAAUACCAUUCAUGCCUUCUGAUC